AAGUCGUAACAAGGUUUCCGUAGGUGAACCUGCGGAAGGAUCAUUAACACGUGAUACUCACGUAUUAACCAAACGCGAAAUGUUGUUAAGCCUGUUAUUGGAUAUGAGCUGACUGUUUGGGAAUGGUGUGACUACGGUGCUUCGCGCAUAGGGUCUAACUAACGGUCUUAGCGUACUCGAUACGCGGUUCAUUCCAGUAAUAGUAGAUGAAUUUCGGCUGCUUAUUAAGCCUGCACCUUGGCUUGCAGUCGAAGUGACCUUAUUACCUACCCCUUAUUUAUACUUAUUCUGAUUUGUACGUUUAUUUGAAUUCCUGACGGCUUCGGCUGAAGGUUGAGUUCAUUUAGAUGUCGUAUAUUACUAAUACGAAACAACUCUUAGCAACGGAUAUCUUGGUUCUC
rnacentral:misc_RNA from 1 species